UACGUAGGGUGCAAGCGUUUGUCCGGAAUUAUUGGGCGUAAAGAGCUCGUAGGCGGUCUGUCGCGUCUGCUGUGAAAACUCAGGGCUUAACCCUGAGCUUGCAGUGGGUACGGGCAGACUAGAGUGCGGUAGGGGAGACUGGAAUUCCUGGUGUAGCGGUGAAAUGCGUAGAUAUCAGGAGGAACACCUGCGGUGUAGACGGUUUUCUGG
rnacentral:rRNA from 1 species